rnacentral:rRNA from 1 species
UACCUAAUAAGGAGAAGGUGUGUCAAGGAAGGUUUUCCUAUAAGAAGCCUACUCGUUUAGCUAACGAAGGCCGCUGGACGACCCGAUUCUAAGAGUGACCUAGGCGAGAACGCGGUUCCUACGCCACCGCGGCGGCCGCCGGCGUGCCUCUGCGGCCGUGUCCGCUCGAAAGCGCUCCACUUGGUUCAUCGAUAGCUGGACGCACCUCGUCGCGCCGCGUCGUCCGUGGUUCCUCGCCUUGGACCCACGUAGUCACGCCGUUCAUCGUCACGUCCAUAACCUCCGAAGAUGUUAUAGUACAGAAUCUUCUCAAGGCUAAGUAAUGGAGUAGACAACCCAACAGCACGGAUUAAGGUCUUUUGUACCACAAGUAUUCCUCCAACGUUUCUGUACGUCCCUACCUUUCUACAUUUAUCUGGAGUUCUAAAUUCGAUAUAUAUAAUGGGUUUGAACUACAAAGACAGCAAAGAAGAAGGCAGGAAGCUACACGACCCGCAGGGCUGCAUACAGCGGGGAAGCUAAACACACCUAUACAAUAACACACCUAGAGGGAAGUUACCCACAAGACCGCAGAUAAUAAGGCACCGACAAGACCCCACAAACGGGGUUGGAAAUAUAAUCAGUUUCCAACGACCCAAACUUAAGACAUGCCUGCUGACAGGCGACAUUUAAUAAAACAAACGUUAUCAUGUGCUGGUAUAGGAACUGUUAUCGUUAGGUAAAGUCUCAGGAGG